rnacentral:rRNA from 1 species
AUUGAACGCUGGCGGCAGGCCUAACACAUGCAAGUCGAACGAGUGGCGGACGGGUGAGUAAUGUCUAGGAAACUGCCUGCUGGAGGGGGAUAACUACUGGAAACGGUAGCUAAUACCGCAUACCAUCGGAUGUGCCCAGAUGGGCUUAGCUAGGAGGUGGGGUAAAGGCUAACCUAGGCGACGAUCCCUAGCUGGUCUGAGAGGAUGACAAGCAACACGGGACCUGAGACACGGUCCAGACUCCUACGGAAGGCAGCAGUGGGGAAUGUUGCCAAAUGGGCGAAGGCCUGAUGCAGCCAUGCCGCGGGUAUGAAGAGGGCCUUCGGGUUGUAAAGUACGUUCAGCGGGGAGGCGUUACCCGCAGAAGAAGCACCGGCUAACUCCGUGCCAGCAGCCACGGUAAUAC